ACAGGUUAUUGGACAUAUUGAGGAAUUACAGAACAAACACUAAAACACAGGUUAUUGUACAUAUUGAGGACCUACAAAACAAACACUAAAACACAGGUUAUUGUACAUAUUGAGGACCUACAAAACAAACACUAAAACACAGGUUAUUGGACAUAUUGAGGACUUACAGAACAAACACUAAAACACAGGUUAUUGGACAUAUUGAGGACCUACAGAACAAACACUAAAACACAGGUUAUUGUACAUAUUGAGGACCUUCAGAACAAAUACUAAAACACAGUCUAUUGGACACAUUGAGGACCUACAGAACAAACACUAAAACACAGGUUAUUGGACAUAUUGAGGACCUACAGAACAAACACUAAAACACAGGUUAUUGUACAUAUUGAGGACCUUCAGAACAAAUACUAAAAUACAGUCUAUUGGACAUAUUGAGGACCUACAAAACCAACACUAAAACACAGUCUAUUGUACAUAUUGAGGACCUACAAAACAAACACUAAAACACAGGUUAUUGGACAUAUUGAGGACCUACAGAACAAACACUAAAACACAGGUUAUUGGACAUAUUGAGGACCUACAGAACAAACACUAAAACACAGUCUAUUGUACAUAUUGAGGACCUUCAGAACAAACACUAAAACACAGUCUAUUGGACACAUUGAGAACCUCCAGAACAAACACUAAAAUAUAUCAUAUUUAGACAAUUAUUUUCAACUGCUUCAUUGUCUACUUGUUAUUGCGAUAUACUUUUUACAAUAAAAAUGCUUGUUAAACUUGU